rnacentral:rRNA from 1 species
UACGGAGGGUGCAAGCGUUAUCCGGAUUCACUGGGUUUAAAGGGUGCGUAGGUGGGCAGGUAAGUCAGUGGUGAAAUCUCUGGGCUUAACCCGGAAACUGCCGUUGAUACUAUCUGUCUUGAAUAUAGUGGAGGUGAGCGGAAUAUGCCAUGUAGCGGUGAAAUGCUUAGAUAUGACAUAGAACAUCGAUUGCGAAGGCAGCUCGCUACACUAUGAUUGACACUGAGGCACGAAAGCGUGGGGAUCAAACAGG